rnacentral:rRNA from 1 species
CAGCAGCCACGGUAAUACGAAGGGUGCAAGCGUUAAUCGGAAUUACUGGGCGUAAAGCGUGCGUAGGCGGCUUCUUAAGUCGGAUGUGAAAUCCCUGAGCUUAACUUAGGAAUUGCAUUCGAUACUGGGAAGCUAGAGUAUGGGAGAGGAUGGUAGAAUUCCAGGUGUAGCGGUGAAAUGCGUAGAGAUCUGGAGGAAUACCGAUGGCGAAGGCAGCCAUCUGGCCUAAUACUGACGCUGAGGUACGAAAGCAUGGGGAGCAAACAGGAUUAGAUACCCCCGUAGUCCCUGUCUCUUAUAC